AGAAGAAGCAGCAGCAGGAGCCGUGCAGCAGGCAGAGAAAGGAGAGGGGUAAACCGGACAACACAGACUCAAACCGGCCCUUUGUCCCACUGUGAUUGCACGUUUAAAUCGCUGAGGACAUAAUGCACACCAGGAAGAGAGUGCCUUCAACCGUAACGGGAAAGAGCAGAGAGAGCGAGCCUAAAAGAUGGGUGAGUCCACGGAAAAGACGAAGAACCGACUAUGCCUCCGUGAAAGAGAGCGAAGACUGUGACUCCAGCAGCGACUGUGUGGAGGAGACGUCUGAAGAAGUGAUGCCCAAGUCUGAUGACAAAAGUAACCAUGAGGAAGAAGAGGGACCAGAUAAAAAGCCAGCAGACACCAGCGAAGACCAAACUGAUGUUCAAAACGAACAAACAAAGGACUUCACCAUUGACAUUGAGAGCACCGAGUCACAGAGGAAACCUUUGUUAAUUCUUCACAGGCUGGAACAUCUACAGGGUGAUUUUCAUCUGCUGUUAAACAACGUGGUGCUACUGCAAAAUGACAGCGGGUCCACGCCAACACAAAAUCCGAGCGAAGAAAAGGCUGAUGCGAGCGAAGACGACACUCCCGGACCAGUCGAAACCAGCGAGCCCCAAGACGAGACCUCAUCUCACUGCAGUAACGCUGAAAAUGAGGAGCAAGAUGAGGUGGAACAGAGGCACAUAGAAGAAGACGCUGUCAUCUCCGAGGACCAAGGGGUUGGCACGACGUCAGUACAAGAAGUAAUAAUAGAAAGUAAUGGUGAGAAUGAAGUCGAAAUAGUGGCUCUGAGUUUUCAGACAGAGCUGGAGUCAGUGGAAGAAGAAGCUACGCCAGAGAAUGUGAUCAGCCUAGAUUGUAACGCACAACAACAACAAACCAUCGAAAGCCCUCCUCAAGAAGAAAACCCCAGUACUGCAUCAGAUGAGCCCGCAGCGACGCCACAAACCAGCGCUGAAGUGGACAUCGCGGAUCUGGAACAACUGAAACGAGAAAAGAUAAAAUGGCAGAUAAAAGUGUUGAAGUUACAGGAGGAGUAUUACACGCUGCAGAUCCAGAAGUUAAAACAGUGACGCCUAUGAGGUCGUCUGUGCUAUGUUGGAUUUUAGAAUAC
ensembl:lncRNA